UACGAAGGGUGCAAGCGUUACUCGGAAUUACUGGGCGUAAAGCGUGCGUAGGUGGUUCGUUAAGUCUGAUGUGGAAGCCCUGGGCUCAACCUGGGAAUGGCAUUGGAUACUGGCGGACUGGAGUGCGGUAGAGGAUGGCGGAAUUCCCGGUGUAGCAGUGAAAUGCGUAGAGAUCGGGAGGAACAUCUGUGGCGAAGGCGGCCAUCUGGACCAGCACUGACACUGAGGCACGAAAGCGUGGGGAGCAAACAGG
rnacentral:rRNA from 1 species